AACGCACCUUGCGCUCCUUGGUAUUCCGAGGAGCAUGCCUGUUUGAGUGUCUUGAAGUCAUCAACCCCUACCGUUUCGUGCGGUUUGCGUGUUGGAUCUGGGGGCUUGCUGCCGAGAGGCGGCUCCCCUCAAAUGCGUCGGUUGGGCCUGUGGGUCGAACUCGAUUGGGCGUUGUAUUAUCCUCGCUUUAACGAGAUGUUCCCCUUCUUGUGCCCCUCCACGACCUGCCUUAUGAGUGGCGGUCAAGCAAACUUGAAAUUCUGACCUCAAAUCAGGUAGGACUACCCGCUGAACUUAA
rnacentral:misc_RNA from 2 species